CCUAGAGAGUCAAUUCAGAUGAUCUGUUGUGUAGAGUCUGUGGGAAGUUAGUCUUGAUUUUGGAUGAAGAAGAGUGGCAAAAAGAACAAAAUCGGGAUCCUUAUUUUCACACAUGAGAAAGAGGCAAGUGAGAAGUGCAUCCUUAAUCUUGGCCUGUUACUCAUUGAAGGACUUCAAGAUGUUUUUAGGCUUCUGGUUUUUAGACUUGCGUUAGCACUAAUGGGGUGCAGCCAAAGUGGAACCAAAUUUGGAUUGGGCUCAGAGGACAAGUGGAAUGGAAAAUCCUGAUUCUUCAAGGCAAACUGCCCCCUCCAGAGCUGUGGAUGAGAAAGCAUGCAGGCCCUCCCAUGCUUCUACUUUUAAGGAGAGAAAAAUGCAUUUCCUGAUUCAAUUACAGAUCUGCUACCAUCCAUGUCACUUUGCCCUCAGAGAGUACAUUUGCACUAUUCCAUCUAAAGUGGCUGAAGAUUGAAACCUAAGUUGCCCAUCUUUUUAUCUUUAGCUUUCACAUCUUGUUUGACUUCUUGGUGCACUUGCAUUCCACAGGACUUUUUAUGAUUAAGGGGGUGAUUUAUCACACUUAUACUGUGCUUUGCUCUAGAGUACUCAAAGCAGUAUAGGUAAGGAUUCCAGGCAGCAUACUGAGACCAGUUUCAGCAGAACUACUUAUCAGUAGAACAUUCCUAGAGCUGAUGUGUAAUUAGUUGCUUGAGCAGCAGCCCACAUGCUGAGAUGAUAGAAGUUACAUCUGGGGACUAUAGCUACCAGAAACCCAUAAGCAGCAUGGACACUGCCAUCUUGGUGAUUGACUUCUGGAAACUGUUCCCAAAGUAAAUUUUCCUAGCUCUGUGCACAUCUUAAGUAAGGCAGCUUUGUACUUCUUGUGGCAAAGGAGAAGAUGGGCCCUCUCAGAUGAACAAGUACAGAUACCCACAAUUAUACUCCAAAUUGUAAAAUUUCCCCCAAUUCCUUGAAAUAAAGGAUUGGGAUGCGUGUGAUGGCUGGUAAGGAGUGCCACUCCAUCCACAAAAUGAUCUUCAUGAUGGGGAAAAAAAGACAUAUACAUUUGAGAAAGAGAAGAAAAGGAGCAAAAAUGAGCAGAGUCAAGGGUGAUGCUGAGAGAUGGAUUCACAGCUGGAUUAUUGUCUUUGCCAUGUACAUGUAUUUUUUUUCACAUAGUGUGAUACAUGUGUGUGUAUAUUAGUGCAUUUAAUACUGAAAUAAUCCAGCUCUACAAAGUUUUGCAAGCCAUAACAGUCAGCACUGCUUUUCUGCUGUGUUUUGACUAAGUGGAUGCCACAUUUAAAUAUGGCAAUAUGUUUGGGAACAGAAUACUUCACAGAUGAGGUUUUUGAUUUAAAGACACUCACUACGUAAUAGUAAUUGUUUCAGCUUUUUCCGAAGCCCAAUGGAAUUUUACUGUAAUGUUCAACCCAUCCAUUAAAUAACUCAUAGCAUUUGUGAUAAGUGCUGCAUUCUGUCACUUAAGAGGCAUCU